GACGGGGGAUGCAAGUGUUAUCCGGAAUCACUGGGCGUAAAGCGUCUGCAGGUGGUUUCCUAAGUCCACUGUUAAACCUUGAGGCUCAACCUCAAAUCUGCAUUGGAAACUAGGAGACUUGAGUAUAGUAGGGGUAGAGGGAAUUUCCAGUGGAGCGGUGAAAUGCGUAGAUAUUGGAAAGAACACCGAUGGCGAAAGCACUCUGCUGGGCCGACACUGACACUGAGAGACGAAAGCUAGGGGAGCGAAUGGG
rnacentral:rRNA from 1 species